CCACCCGUGAACCUGACCCCGCCCCUUCCGAAAGGUGCAAGCCGAAGAAGCUCCCACAGCUGGUCAUGGGGAAAGGAAGACCAGGGAGUGGCACAGCUAUCCUGCCAAGACGCAGUCACAUCAUCAGUGAACUUUGAAGCUGUGAUUUGAACUUAAGACAUUGAGAAGAAGAAAUUUGCUGAAAUCAGCAAGACAGACAUGCAACACAAAUGUGAGUUGACAAAGAAUAGUUGGUGAAACUAGCAACUACAAAGUCAAGUACUUCUCUUUUCUUUCAGGAUUAGAAAACUCAACAAUAAUAAUAAAAAUAGCAAAAAUUAUUCACAUUUUUAAUUCUAUG
rnacentral:lncRNA from 1 species